UGCUGGAACUACAGGCAUGCACCACCACACCCAGAGGUCAGAUGACUUUGGAGGAGGGAAACUGAUUCAUCGCCCAGGGGCCUGUAAGGCUGCAGCUAGAUGGGACUGUCCACCAUUCCCAUUCCACUUGCUGGCUGGAGGAACUUCAUGUCUGAUGACUGGGGGAUGUGUCAGGGCAGAUGGGUGCUGAGUAGCUGGGCUCCAUGCAGAGUGGCUAAGAGAACUGUGGCUGAAUACCGAGAGGGAACAAAAAAAACAGGCAAAUUUUUGUCAGCAAAUGCCUCUGUACUCCCUUCUUUGGGGAAUGAUGCAAACAUGAUGGAGGCAGUGAAAUCUCACAUACUCAUGACUUGAACUCUGGGCCCAGACCUGGGUUGGGUGAGACUGAACAGACCCGUCAUGUUAAUAAACUGAUCCGAAACACAGGAAUCUUUACCUCUUUCCUAAACAUCCUUUCACAGUUGGACUCUGCCUCUUCUUCCCAAACUGGGGUUGCUUUCUCAGUGCUCAAGCUUUAUACAUGACUGAAAGCACUUAGAUAACUGACUUCAGUGUACUGUAGCCACAAGAAAUGGGGAGGGGGCCAGAAUGAGUAAGGCUCCAUUCGAAGCAGAGCAUUGUGGCACAUUCCUGCAAUUUUUAAAAUAUUAAAUGACUUAUUUAUGCUCUCUAUUCAUAAGAUCUAAUGAUUACACUGAGGAGCUAAAAGUAGUUGGGGGUUACUUGUAUGUGUUUGACCACAUUUUCACAUGCAUCUGUGCUCACAGGAACACUCUCAGACUCCACACCAGAGAAGCAGCCAGGCCCCUUGGGCUUCCAGCACUGGCAGGUGGAUGGAAACUUUGCAGUACACAGGAACCAGGAUGUCUUCAGCUGAUGUAAUCUUGCCCUAGAGCAUCACAGCAUCUUGGAAUCAUUGAAGCCUCCCUCAGCUGUGCCGGAGGCAAAAUGGAGUCAUGUUUUCUCAUGUCAGAGCCUCCCUCCAGCAUGAAGAGGAGGCCUCAGACAGCCUUAACCAUAAUUUAAUUAGGAAAUGAAUUGUCCCCAAAACUAUGUAGAAUGUCUCCUCACAGUGGUGUUUGGAAGAGCUGAGCUGGUGAUGUUCUUCAGCUCUACUCAUGAUGGAGCAGGCUGCUUGAAGGUGAACAAGGCGCCCCAAGACUCAUGACCACCCGGAGCCCAUGGGAACUUCUUUGGAAACAAUGUCUUUGCAGAUGUUAUCAAAUUAAAAUGAGUCCAUACCGGAUUCAGGAUGGCCACGAAUCCACUGUGACUGGUGUUCUGAUAAGAAGAGGGAUACUCAGGGAGAAUGUCACCUGACAACAACACAAAGUGUGGAGGGAUGGGUCCAUAAGCCAAGGAUUGCAAGGAUUGUCAUAGCCACUAAGGCAAGGAGAAGGGUACAGAACAGAUUCUCCUUCAGAGCUUCCAGAAGGAACCAAACAUUUUUCUUGGUUUGUUUCUGUUUUUCUGAGCCAAGGUCUCACUUUGUGGCCCAGGCUAGCCUCAGAAGAUACCAAUCUUAUUUCAGUCUUGUUUCAGAUUUUUAAUCUCCAAAACUGCAAGAGAACAAAUUUGUUUUAAGCACCCCAGUUGUGGCUUUAUUAUGGCAGGCCUAGAGAGUCAAUCUAGUCUUUGAUGAUAUUUUUACCACAUGGAAUGAAAAGGCACUCCUGGGCCAUCUUACACAUUGUGUUGCCCAGACCUGGAAUGUCUCAUGGCCAAUUUCAGAACUAAUGGAAAAAUAGACAUAUGUGAAGGAAAAACACCUCAAGAGUUCAUGAUGAUAAUUUCACCUCAAAUUCAGGACUGAUUUUCCAGUUCAAAGUUUGAGAAUCCUGUUUCUCAAAGACCCGGGGAUAAGGAAUUAUAGUCAUCUACAAUUACUCAUUUGCAUUAUCCUACAUCAGAAGUACUACCAUCUCAGAAUAA